UACGUAGGGGGCAAGCGUUGUCCGGAAUUAUUGGGCGUAAAGAGCGUGUAGGCGGUCCGGUAAGUCGGUUGUGAAAGUCCAGGGCUCAACCCUGGGAUGCCGAUCGAUACUGCCGGACUAGAGUCCGGAAGAGGCGAGUGGAAUUCCCGGUGCAGCGGUGAAAUGCGCAGAUAUCGGGAGGAACACCAAUGGCGAAGGCAGCUCGCUGGGACGGUACUGACGCUGAGACGCGAAAGCGUGGGGAGCAAACAGG
rnacentral:rRNA from 1 species